UACGUAGGGCGCAAGCGUUGUCCGGAAUUAUUGGGCGUAAAGAGCUCGUAGGCGGCUUGUCACGUCUGCUGUGAAAUCCCGGGGCUCAACCCCGGGCGUGCAGUGGAUACGGGCUGGCUAGAGGCAGGCAGGGGAGAACGGAAUUCCUGGUGUAGCGGUGAAAUGCGCAGACAUCAGGAGGAACACCGGUGGCGAAGGCGGAUCUCUGGGCCAUUACUGACGCUGAGGAGCGAAAGCGUGGGGAGCGAACAGG
rnacentral:rRNA from 1 species